ACCUACAAUAAUAGAAUGAUAAAUUCAAAGCCUGAUCUCGCCAGAUCUCAGAAGUGAAGCAAGGCUGGGCUCGGUCAGUAAUUGGAUGAGAGACCUCGGGGAAUAUCAGGUGCCACAGUGGGGC
rnacentral:rRNA from 1 species